GACGAACGCUGGCGGCGUGCCUAAUACAUGCAAGUAGAACGCUGAAGCUUGGUGCUUGCACCGAGCGGAUGAGUUGCGAACGGGUGAGUAACGCGUAGGUAACCUGCCUGGUAGCGGGGGAUAACUAUUGGAAACGAUAGCUAAUACCGCAUAAGAGUAGAUGUUGCAUGACAUUUGCUUAAAAGGUGCAAUUGCAUCACUACCAGAUGGACCUGCGUUGUAUUAGCUAGUUGGUGAGGUAACGGCUCACCAAGGCAACGAUACAUAGCCGACCUGAGAGGGUGAUCGGCCACACUGGGACGGAGACACGGCCCAGACUCCUACGGGAGGCAGCAGUAGGGAAUCUUCGGCAAUGGACGGAAGUCUGACCGAGCAACGCCGCGUGAGGGAAGAAGGUUUUCGGAUCGUAAAGCUCUGUUGUAAGAGAAGAACGAGUGUGAGAGUGGAAAGUUCACACUGUGACGGUAUCUUACCAGAAAGGGACGGCUAACUACGUG
rnacentral:rRNA from 1 species